GUAUUGGUGGUUCAUUGGUAGAACUCUUGCCUUCCAUGCAGGGGACCUGGGUUCAACUCCCAGCCAAUACA